GCGUGCGUGCACUUUUUUUUUCGCUGGCUGCUGUGCUCGCACGCAAAGCACCGAGGUCAUAGCAGUAUAGGAGCAUCUUUUUUUAUUCUCGGGCUUCUUGUUUUUUUUUCCCCUCCCCGUUUCCCGCUGCCCGAGCAUUACCGGCGUCGCGGCGAAAGCAACAGACACUCGCAGCCUUGCCGACAAGUGAGCGAAGGCCGCGAUAAGUAGUACGCACACACAAAACACAGUAGAGAGGGGUGAAGAAACGGUAGCGUGUAGCACGCUGUCUUACACCUUUCUUGCCUGACUCUCCUUCCCCGACCCAUUCUGCUUAGCUGCUGUUUCUCAGCCCCUCAAAAAAGGCAGUAACACAGCAACCCUUCAAAUUAACGUGUGCUAUUAGGCAUGCAGCGGUUUUCAGUCAGGUCGGCGUGUGCCGUCGCCACCGUAGGCGCUGUGCGCACCUUCUGGGACCCGUUCGGUCACCAGCCCGAGUCCAUGUUCCUCGACCGCAAGGACUUGUGCCAAAUGUACCCGACCCAGAAGCCGAAGACUACGGGCGGUGGCUUCGGCUACGAGCGCGGCCCAUAUUGGGCUACGAUGCUUUUGCCAAACCCUGCUGUGCGCCUGCCGCACGAGCGGCGUCGCCUCAACCCGAAGCCAGCGAAGCGCGUCACCGUCUUUGGCGCCAGCGGCUACCUCGGAGCUGAGAUUGUGCGGGAGCUGUGCGAGCACCCAGACAUCGAAAAGGUACGCGCCACCACGCGCUACCCCACGCUCAUCCCGCAAGGAUCCGACCUUGACGGCCUCCUGCGCAAUCACCCAGACAAGCUAGAGCUGCACGAGUGCGACGUGACAGACCGGAUUCAAGUCAACGUCGCCGCAAACGGGAGCGACACUCUUAUUUUCGCUGUCGACUACCACGCCGAAUACGCCAACAAUAGCCAUCAUGACGUGUUCCUGAUCGGCGCUACAAACGUCAGCUGGACUGCGCGCAGCGUACGAGCAGAGCGUGUCAUUUUCUGCAACGGCCUCGACGCCACUUUUGCAUCAGAGUCGAACUACGUCGACUUCCGCGCCCGCGGAGAAGAUGCCGUCGGUGCCAACCACCCGGACGCCACCAUUAUUCGCUUCGGCCCACUAUACGGCAAGAACUACCGCUACCGCGGUCUGGGCCGCUACAUCUACCCAGCAUGCUUCCCGAACACGCAGGUGCAGCCCACGUGGGUCGUUGACGCCGCGCGUGCCGUCGUGCGGUGCUCCAUGUCCCACCGUGCCGUGCGCUACAAGUUCGACCUUGGUGGCCCGCAGACGCUGAGCCACGUGGAGGCGUUCCGGGAGAUUGCUCGCCACUUCGAGAAGCGCCUUGUAGUGCCGUGCUACCGCGGUUUCGGUCGCUUCUUUGGCAAGCUUGCCGCCUGGACGGUGCCCAACCCGUGGUUCGACGACAACUACGUCCUCACCUUCGAGCUGGAUCAGGUGAACCGCCGUAGCACUCUUUUCGAUCGGCUGGCGAGCUGGGAGCGUAUCGCGUACACGCCACACACCAUCCGCGAGGCUGCCGAGGUUGAACGUGGCAUCCGAAAGCUCGCCCCCUUGCAUGAGCUGGACAUCGCCUUCAAGGAGCUGGAGGCGGCGGACAAGGCUGCCUUUCAGCAGGAGGAGGAGGCGGCGAAGAAGUUCGGCAUCUAUCGCGCGAAGGCAGAGCCGGGCUUCGGCCGCACCGAUGGCCUCGAGGCCCUUGCUCAGGAGAUCUACCCCGGUCAGCAGUUCCGCAUCAAGCCGCUGGAGGGCGCCAAGUACCCAUCGAACGUCACGCAGCCCGGCCCCACAGCGAUUCAGUAGACGUAGCGCCUUGGUUUCACUUUUUUUUAUAUUUCUUUCUCAACUGUAUGGAGCGGAUGCAGGGAGAGGGAUGGGAAGAGGCUUAUGCCCGUGCUUACUUGCGUCUCGCCAGUCUACUGAAGGGGUGCACAACCCUAUGCUCGCGACUGAGACAAAGCUGGGUUUCUUCCGCUUUCUCCCGUCUCUGAGCUGCUGGUGCGUGUCUUUCACCCUCCACCUCUCGUCCCCCUCUUCAUGCUCCUCUGCUCCCGACCUGGUAUUGUGGCCGAUGCGUGCUUUUCCAGAUCACGAGUGCCGUGUGUCUCUUGUUCUUCGGUGGGGGGCGUGCGUGUGCCUUUCUGCUUGCCGUGUCGGCUGCCGGUAACUCUGAUUGUUGGUGUGUGAGGUAUGCGUCUGUGCCACCCCCUAUCUUCGAUUUUCUCUUCCGCCGUUAGCAGCACUAAUGGCGUGUAGCACCCUCUUUUCCUGUAUGUUCUUCCCUCAUCCGAUAUCGCUUCCACAUCUCCCGCACCGCCCCCCCUCCCCACCCGCCUCUGUGUAGGGGUUGUUUACUAUGCUUGGCUCGUGUAUACAUGGGCGUGCAGCGCCCCAAUCAAAUCACGAAACGAAACGCGAUGGAGGCAACUGAUCUUCAGCUCAACGUGGAGAUAUCGUAGCCGAUAUUUUCGUGCUCCCGCGGAGGUGACUCCACCAGAUCUCCGUUUUUGUGUUGUCCGACCCGCGGCUUUUCUCUCUCUCUCUCUCUGCACGCUGCCUUCCAGCGUGCUCCGCUCGCCUCUCCUUUUUCCCCGCCACCUCUGUUUUGUGUAGACAUCAUCUCAGAGGUUGAG
rnacentral:misc_RNA from 1 species